UAUCACAGUGUUCAAAGUGAAAAGUGGACUCUGGUGGUGAGGGGUGUAUCGUGUCACUGCCCACCACUCUACAGGGAUGAGCACCGGGCCCUACGGUUGCAGCUGCUCCACCCCGCCUGCAGGAGUCUGGCAGGCACAGCAGAGGGUCAUGUCAGGACUGCCGGAAGUAUGUUAGUAUAACAAUUGACAGAAACCCCACUGUUCCGUAGACAUGACACUAUGCUGUGACUGCUGGGCUCCUGCCGUCACUUAGCUGACCCUCUGGCUAGUUGGAAUGGGCCACGGCGCCAGGCUGGCCAGUGUGGAGGCGCAUGCAGGCCAUCACUUCAGUAAUGGUAAGUCCCCUGUACAGCUCAUCGCGGGACAACGAGGGACAGCGCAGGAGCAACAGCAUCUGUCAAGGAAAGUGAAACAUAUUAUUUUGUCAGGGUUAGGAUGUUAGGUGCUAGGAUGCUAAUUCUGAUUCCCUUUCAGGUUCUCAUGGAACUUUAUAAUAUGAAAGUUUUUCAGGACCAUGAGCAUUUGCCAUCGAAUGAAAGCAUGUUGUGGCAGCCCCUCAGCUUCUGCAUGUUGCUGUACCCAGUGAAAACUACUGAAAAGUCUGUGAAUCAAGACAAGGAUUCCAAAGCUCUACCAAGUGAAAAAUGACAAGUGAAUCUGAACAAGGAUUACAAGCAGUAAUAAUUGGUAAGAAUUUAAGAGAUACUUUCUUUUAGGGUUUGUUUAUUUCUUUUCAGAUUAGGUUUAUUAACUUUUGAGAAUUUUUCCCUUUCAGUCCUUGGCUGUUUUCCUCUUGCGUAUCCUUAAAGUUCUUAUUCAUUGUCCAUCAUGCAGUAUUCAUGCUCCAGGUUUUUUCUUGCUUGCCUACAGCCUCAUUUUCAAGCUAAUGAUUGCUCAUGUUCUUCCUCAUCUUUUCAAGUUAUUUUGUUCUUGUCAUAUAAGCUCCUCAUUCUCAUUUCAAUCUGACAAAAUUACUGGCAACAUGUUUCAUCUUCUGCGGUCAUUCAUCGUACAUAUUUAACCCUUUCCUUGCGCACGGUGCGGACACGACUAUCCCCUAAGGCGUAGUCGGGGAGCCCAAUGGGGGGUCUCUUUUAACCUCUGUAUCUCAAAAACUAUUCAUCACAGCUAAAAACCAAAAACACCAUUGUAAAGAGGAGGUCCAGAUCUAUAGGAGUCGGAUAUGUAUGCCUCUCUUGCGAACGUACAUGCACGUUCAGGGAGUGUUGAAUGUUAAAACUUACGUCGGUGCGUGCAGGAUGAUCAGCCAUAUCGAGGGAACUGCGGACAUCACUCCUUCAGAUUCUGGCAAGGAAGCAUUGCCAACUGCAAUAUUUACAACUAUUUGGUCAAAGAACCAGUCAGGUGAUAGGUGAAGCUAUGCAAAGAUGCCGCUAUAUUGGGCAAGAACAUCCACCAGUCACUCGUCCGUAGAUUUGCCGCGCUGGGCUGAUAUGAUUUUCCACCAAAUUUAGUGAAGAACCCACUCAAUUGGCAAUCCUGUGUUGUGAGAAUUAGUGUUGGAACACUCUCCUACGCGGGAGAUUUGAGUGCGGGUGGAGCUCGCAGAGAGCAUUUAGCAGCACCAGCAAAUACGUCUAACGCUCGCUGCGAGCGUUUAGCAAUGAAAGGGUUAAGUGGGAAAGCAGCAAGAAACAUGAGGACAUGACAUAUUGGAUGAGCUUUCUCGGUGCAGGUAAAAAAAGUUCACAACUAAGUUCUUGAAGUAUAAAGGAGAAGUGCUGGUGAAGGCAUGACUACCAAUGAGGGUUAACAAAGUAGGCAGAAUGUAUGGAAAAAGAUGAGGGAAACAUUUUAAUCACAUCAAGGGAUAGUGUUUGCUUCCAUGUUGAGGACAUAGUUGUCUGCCCCAGUCACUGAUAGGUUUGGUGCAAUUCAUCGUUGUGCCUACACAUGGCAGUAGUUGCUUGGGGCAUGGUCAGUAAUGCUUGGUAUCCAUAUUCAUUGGCUGCCUUCAGUGGGAGAGUUGGGUGUAAAUUUUUUUUGGUUCGUUGUUAAGAUACCUAAAAAACUGAUUGACAAAUAGGCACCAAAUAGAUAAGAGAACAUUCUUUAGUGAAUACCUCAUGCUGACUAAAUCUUAGGAAAAAUGUAGUACUGACUUGUAUAAUGGCUGAUAAAAUAUGAAAACAAUAAAUGGCUUUGGGGUGGCAUGUGUAAAAGCUGCCUCUUUGUGGAUGCUUCGACUAAUACCCCAGCAGUGAGCAGGUGCCGUUAGAAGUUUCUGCUGCCUGGGGUGUGCUGUUUGUUCCUUUUAGGAUAAAAAUUGAUGAGGCAACAAAGGAUCGUAGAAGAGGUGAUCCACAGGAGCUAUUGUGUGAGAACGAUUUAGAGUUAGCAGCUGAAACAAGGGAUAGAGAGCAAGAGAGGGACAGUUAUAGGAGGGCUACAGAUAAAUAGAAUAAACAGGAGCAUUUUACUAUAAACAGGAAAAGUAUUUUAAGCAUGUAUGAGAUCAGUAUUGCUAUAUGGCUCUGAGACAUGAGCUUAAAUGAAGUCAGAGGAUGUAUUGGUUGGCAUUGAUAGGAGAAUGUUGAGUCAAUGGAUGGGAUCACAUGGAGAGAUGGUCCAGUGAGGAGAUGACAAGUAGAUGUGAAUUGAAGGAUCUGAGUACGAUGUUGAGAGUCCAUAGGUUAUGGUGGUUCAGGCAUGUGAAGAAGAGGGGGAAUGGUGAAGCAUUGGGGAGAGCUGUUGGGGUGGAAGUGCCAGGUCACCACCCACUAGGCAGGCCAAAGGAGAUACUGAGUUUGUUCAGGAUUUAGCAGCACAGUUGGAAGUGUAUCAUCGACUGUAACCUCGUAGGAGAUUAUGGGAAAACUUGACGGCAAUGAGUGGAGAAAAGAGGCUCAACAGUGAAGAUAGAUUAAACGAAGAUGGUGCCAGGCUAGAUGAUUGGAGAUAAUGUGCAGGUGGGAAGAUGCCUUUUGUGGUAUGUGAGUGGAGUUAGGUGUUUAUAGCUAAGAUCCCUCAAUAGUGGUUGAUUUUGUGUCCAUGUGUUGGAAGGAACAAAGGCAAAGUUUUGGAGAUGGAUUUGACAACAGAGAUGGAUGGUGGAAUUAUAGGGGAAGUAAAGCGGUUUUAUUUACUUAGAUUUUGGGCAGGAAGGAAGGGUGGAGUGGAGAAAGUAGACAGAGGAAGCUUGGCAGCGGCUUGGAGAAGCUGUAAAGAAAUUUGAGUCAAUGGAACCAUUCUGGGGGGGUUGUGGGGGUGGGCAGGGCUAUGCUCCCCCUGGUGUAGGACCCAAUUAAUUGAUUGAAGUGUUUAUUAAUGUACAGAGGCAAGGUAUGACACUCAUUACAUCUGUGCUGUUCUGUGGAGCAGAGGCGUGGGUUCUGGUGAAGCUACAUCUGUGCUGUUCUGUGGAGCAGAGGCAUGCAUGGGUUCUGGUGAAGCUGGAGGUUGUAUUGAUAUAACACAAUUUGGAUAUUUCGGUAUGGCUGGUGUCACCUGGAGUGUUGGUGUUUGUGAUGGCAGCAGGAAGAUAGCCAGGGAACCGAGUUGUGCUCAGGGUGCUUACACCAAGACGGUUCAAAUAUGAAAAGAAAAUAUAUGGAUGAGGAUGUAGCCACUCGUGUUAAUGAAGAAGCUUGAUAAACAGUUGGAGGAUGGUCGUGAAAUGUCUAGCUACAUAAAUAAAAUUACAGUAAACCCUCCAUAAAUCUGAGUACAGUAAACCCCGCUUAAGUCGGACCCGAAUAAGCCGGAUAUCUGGUAAAUCGGACACUUUCAGGAUUUUUAUUUUAUUUUAUUUAUUUUUAUUUUUUUAUUUAUUUUUUAUUUUUUACGUUCUAUCCAGAGUGCACCGUUAGGCAUUUUUUGCCCUUUGAUUGAGUAGUUUUAAGCCACUCGGCUUAUAUAGCGGCUAAAAUACCCCUGAUAGCUCUUACAUCGUCCGAGUCAUUUGAGGAGUUGUCUGAGCCGUUGAAGACACGAAACGUUCAUUUCCUUUCAGGUUAAUGUUCAUUUCCUUCCAGGUUAAUGUUCAUUUCCUUCCAGGUUAAUGUUCAUUUCCUUCCAGGGUAAUGUUCAUUUCCUUCCAGGUUAAUGUUCAUUUCCUUCCAGGUUAAUGUUCAUUUCCUUUCAGGUUAAUGUUCAUUUCCUUCCAGGUUAAUGUUCAUUUCCUUCCAGGGUAAUGUUCAUUUCCUUCCAGGUUAAUGUUCAUUUCCUUUCAGGUUAUUGUUCAUUUCCU